UACGUAGGGGGCUAGCGUUGUCCGGAAUCAUUGGGCGUAAAGCGCGCGUAGGCGGUCAGGUAAGUCCGGUGUGAAAGUCAAAGGCUCAACCUUUGAAUGCCGCUGGAUACUGCCUGACUUGAGUCCGGAAGGGGCGAGUGGAAUUCCUGGUGUAGCGGUGAAAUGCGCAGAUAUCAGGAGGAACACCGGUGGCGAAGGCGGUUCUCUGGGAAUGUCCUGACGCUGAGGAGCGAAAGUGUGGGGGAGCGAACAGG
rnacentral:rRNA from 1 species